CCAACAGAUACAAAGAGAGUGCAACUGAGAUGGAAGAUAUACAGGAAACAAAUCUAAAGAGAGACAAGGAGUGAGCAGGGGAGGGGCAGAGAGAGACCUUAACCAACCGAGCCACCCAGGCACCCCUAAUAGCUUUUAAACAUUAAAAAAUUCAUGUUUUUAUUGGGUGUACUUUAAUCUCAGCCAGAAGGAAAUACAGCCUUCCCUAAUGUGGCUUCAGAUGCCUUCAAUAACCCAGGUAGGUGGGGUGGCAAGACUUUCCAAGCAU
rnacentral:lncRNA from 1 species